UACGAAGGGGGCUAGCGUUGCUCGGAAUCACUGGGCGUAAAGCGCACGUAGGCGGCUUUCUAAGUCAGGGGGUGAAAUCCUGGAGCUCAACUCCAGAACUGCCUUUGAUACUGGAGAGACUUGAGUCCGGAAGAGGUGAGUGGAACUCCGAGUGUAGAGGUGAAAUUCGUAGAUAUUCGGAAGAACACCAGUGGCGAAGGCGGCUCACUGGUCCGGUACUGACGCUGAGGUGCGAAAGCGUGGGGAGCAAACAGGGAUUAAGAAACCCCGGUAGUACCC
rnacentral:rRNA from 1 species